AUGACUGCGGCGCUUCGACUACAGGCGGCGGCGAGGAUGCUCCAGCGAUCUCCGGCGGAGCAACGGCUCCGGCUGCUGCCACGGCUCUUGCACGGCGCCGGUUCGCCGUCGAUCCCCUCCGCUGCUGCCGAGAGGCUCUCGUUGGUGCAACUGCACGAGAGGCAGCAGGAGCUGUACCCCGUGCUGCUCGAGCUAGACAAGAGAAUACUAGGCAAACACCACAAGGCCACCGGCUUGAUCUUCCACACCAGAUACUCGGAUCUGCUCGGGAUCGUCACCAAGCACGUCGAUCCUAGACCAAAUGACUCCAACUGGCGGUGGUUUCGAGCCAAAGUGGUAUUGUCCAAUGGGUGCGCAUGGUUGGUGAGUCUGGGGUUCCUACAUUGCAUGUGCUUCCAUGAUCUGUUUGCUGCAAAAGAGACUCCCGCGGAAGAAGAAGAAAAUGAUGUAGAUAAAGAGGAGUGA
rnacentral:rRNA from 1 species